AGAGGUACUUAGGACACUCCUCUGUUUUUUCCAGUUCUUUGUGCCUGUGGAGAAGAACAUAAAGCUCAUUGCCCAGCAACAGUGGGAAAAGAUGUUUACACCAUGAUGGCAACCACAGCAUUAGGCAUCCAGGAAGUUCUCCACAUUUCUACGGCAUUUUGCCAUGCUGAGCUUUGGCUGAGAAGACACAAAGAGGAUCACCACAAAAUACAAACACCUAUUACUUAGCUUGCACUAAAAGAUGUAAUAAAUAAAAGUGCACUACCACUGCAGGCGAAGGUACGUGGAUGCUGGCUACAGAGCGAGGACAAAUGUGAUUGGCUAAAUGACAAAGGACCACGCCGUCCAUCAGAGCAGCUCCGACAUCGUCUGGAAGCAACACCUUCAGUCUGGACUCAAUGUUCUGCAACAAUGUCAAGCAAAAAAAAUUUGUUUUCUUUACAAAGAUAAGAGUGCUUAGUUUUGACUAGCAGAGAGGUAUUAAUUUAACAAUAUGUUUAUUAUUGUGGUUGUAGUUUGCAGUGGAGGCACUGAUGGUGUAGUGGUACAUUUGCCUAUCUUUUGUGCAGUUAGUGAAUGAUGUCUGUCACUAGGCACUACAGUAUGUGCCCUUUGAUUGACUGAAGACCAAGUCCAGGGUGUAGUCCGCCUUUUCCCCAAUGUGAGCUGGGAUAGGUUCCGGUUCUCCAUGACCCUCAACAUGAUAGGCGGUAUAGAAGAUGGAUGGAAUUCUUUUUUUACCUCUGUCAGACAAAAAAAAACUUUGCUCGCAGUUUUACAAAGAUAAGAAUUCUCAGUUUUGAUUUGCACUGUCAGAGAGGUAUUAUUUCAAAACGUUCAUUAUUGUUGUAGUUUACAGUUGUGUAGAUCUGUAUUGCAUCAUCAUCAGUUUGACCCUCUAAUUAGCUAGUAAAAUAAUAUAUUUUGAUGAUUAAAUUUUUGAUUAUCCAAUAUUUCCUAAUAAAGAAGCAGUAGUGUUGUGUCACACCACGACGUAAAAUACUACAGAUUGAUAUUUGCUGCAAAACAUUAUCAACAUGGGAGGCAGAACUGUGCUAAAAAUGCUUAAUUUUGCUGCAGAAACACAAUAUAAUUUCAAAGGGCUGUUUGGUGUCAUUCAUUUACUUGGUAGUUUUAACAAUUUAAAAAAUCUUCAAGUAACUCAUUACUUGUUCCAUCCAUUGGUCCAUUUUCUACAGUUUAUCCUGUUCAGGGUCUACAGGUGAGCUGGCUCCUACCCCAGCUGACUAUUAGGUGGAGGUGGCGUACAAGCUGGACUGGACUUCAGUCAUUGAAAGGGUACAAACAAACAUUAACACUUACAUUAAAUUUAGAGUCUUCAAUUAACCUGACAUGCAUGUUUUUGCAAUGUGGGAGGAAGCCAAAAACCCAUGCAAUCAAGAACAUGGAGACUGCACGGGGAAAGGGCCGUGCCGAGAAUCGAACCAAGAAGUUUUAAAGCGAAAUCCUGCUCAAUACUGAGGAGAACGGGCUCAGUCAUUGCUUUAGUGAUAAUACUCCCAAAGCCAUUUUCCAGAAAAUGUUGCUCAUCACUGGUGCCUUGGGUCUUAAUUUUAAUUUAAGAGACAUUAACUGAGAAGCCAGCAUGGUCAGACUGCAAAUAUUUGGAGAAAACUCUCCUGAUACUGCCUUUGGCUUGUGACACAACUUUGGAAACAUGCCAAAUCAUAAAAUCGAUAAUAAAAAUAAUAUGACAA